rnacentral:lncRNA from 1 species
UAUCCCACUUUUCAGCCUUGGUUUUCCCACCUUUUCCACCAAAUUUCAGCCCCACUUUUCCCCAAAUUCCAGCCUUCUAUCCCACUUUUCAGCCUUAUUUUUCCCUAUUUCCAGCCUCGCUUUUCCCAAAUUCCAGCCCCACUUUUCCCAAUUUCCAACCCCAGUUUUCCCAAAUUCCAGCCCUUUUAUCCCACUUUUCAGCUUUGCUUUUCCCAAAUUUUCAGCCCCACUUCAGCCAAAUUUCAGCCCCACUUCUCCCAAAUUCCAGCCCCACUUUUCAGCCUUGGCUUUCCCAAUUUUCAGCCCCAAUUUUCCCAAAUUCCAGCCCCACUUCUUCCAAAUUCCAGCCUUGGUUUUCCCUAUUUCCAGCUCAUUUUUCCCCAACUUUCAGCCUUGGUUUUCCCUAUUUCCAGCCCCUUUUUCCCAACUUUCAGCCCCUUUUUUCCCUAUUUCCAGCCCAUUUUUCCCAAAUUUCAGCCCCACUUCUCCCAAAUCCCAGUCCUACUCCUCCUACAUUCCAGCCCCUUUUUCCCAAAUUCCAGUCUCAGUUUCUCCAAAUUUCAGCCCCAGCUUUCCCAACUUUCAGCCUCGAUUUCCCCAAAUUUCAGCCUCAGUUUUCCCAUCUUUUCCCCCAAAUUUCAGCCCCAUUUUUCCCAAAUUCCAGCCCUUUUAUCCCACUUUUCAGCCUUGGUUUUCCCAAUUUUCAGCCCAAAUUCCAGCCUCAGUUUUCUCAAUUUUCCAGCCCCAUUCUCCCAAAUUCCAGCCUUGGUUUUCCCAAAUUUCCCGUUUUGUUUCUCCCAAAUUCCAGCCCCAAUCUUCCCAAAAUUCCAGCCCUUCUAUCCCACUUUUCACCCUUGGUUCUCCCAACCUUCUGCCCCUUUUUUCCCAAAUUCCAGACUCGGUUUUCCCAAAUUCUAGCCCCACUUUUCCUAAAUUCUAUCCCUGCUUUUCCCAAAUUCCAGCCCCAAUUCCCAUCUUUCAUAUCCAUGGAAUUAUCCAGAUUUAUAAACAUCCAUGGAUUUAUCCCACCUGUGGGAAAUGUGUUUUUCCUAGUGGGAAAAGUCUGGAAAACUCCCAUGGAAUUCCAGAUAGAAUAGACCUGGAGGGAAUUGGUGGAUGGAGAGAGGUGGAAAAUCAGGAUUUAUGUGGAAAAGCAGGAUCUGAAAGGACAGAAAAUCGGGAUUUAGGUGAAAAAACGGGAUCUGAAAUGAUGGAAAACAAGAAAAAGCAGGAUCUGAAACAAUAGAAAACAGGGAAAAGGGGGAUCUGAAAUGAUGGAAAACCGGGAUUUGUGUGGAACAGCAGGAUCUGAAAUGAUGGAAAACAGGGAAAAACGGGAUCUGAAAUGAUGGAAAAC